rfam:Picea glauca, whole genome shotgun sequence.
GUACAUGCCUACAACAUAGUGUUAAUGCAUCGAAUCCCAUUAGAAUUCCUAAGUUAAGUGCGCUCGGGAUAGAGUAAUACUGGGAUGGGUGACCAUCUAGGAAGUGCUAGUGUUUUCC